GUCUACGGCCACACCUAGGCGAAAACACCAGUUCCCGUCCGAUCACUGCAGUUAAGCGUCUGAGGGCCUCGUUAGUACUAUGGUUGGAGACAACAUGGGAAUCCGGGGUGCUGUAGGCUCCU
rnacentral:rRNA from 1 species